CUCUGACUAUCGUGGUAAGCCUUUGACAACAUUGUUGAAGUUUGCCAAACUGCUUGCUUAUUAAAUUAAUCUUAUUAUCGCUUAAUAUGCAGUUCUGGUGACCGGUUUACCCUCGUCUGCCUCAUGUCAAGACCUAAAGGAUCACAUGCGCAAAGCUGGGGAUGUUUGUUUCUCUCAAGUGUUUCAUGAUCGUGGAGACAUGACUGGGAUUGUAGAUUACACGAACUAUGACGAUAUGAAAUAUGCUAUAAGGAAGCUUGAUGACUCUUUGUUUCGGAAUGCAUUUAGCCGGGCUUACAUACGGGUAUGUUAUGAUGCAUAUUUAAUUCCUGAUCCAUGCUUGUGCAAAACUACUUGAUCAA